UUUUUUUUUUUUUUGUCCUUUGGUUUGCUAUUUAUUUUUAGGAAUUCAUGAUUUCAGUCACGAAAGGGGGAAAACUUAAAAGGAAGUAAGUCUACAAUAUCUGCAUAAAUACAGCCAGUUAACUAAGCAGCAUCACAAAGGCUGCAAUGUAAAUCUCACGCCUUGGAUUUGGAGGCAGGUUGCUUUCCUCAGCGUUUUGCCCGCCGAAGUCCUCACAGCCUUGGACUGCAUUGUACAAGGUGUAUAGAUACAGGAAGAUGGUGACACUGGAGUGCUUGCCCUGAUCCGUCACAGUAUGCUUAUGUAUGUAAACGGUGCUUUCCUUUCUAUCCAAACCUUCCAAUUUCCCUGAAAUUUAUUCAUUAGAUAUGCAUUUCUUAGUCUUCUGGAUCUUUUCUCAGAAAUCCACCGUUAGGGGUACAAAUACUACUUAAGGAGCCGGUUUUACAUACUUUACAUUUUCCUCGACAUCCCGAGUAAGCCCCCCAGAGGUCAGACGGGGAACAGGUGAGGUCAGAAAAUGGGAGAAGGUGGAAAAAAAAAUGUUUAUCUUUUAGGUGGAAAAACAAUGUUUAUCUUUUCAGCAUGUUCUAGUUCUCUUGCCCCAGCAUAAUAAUGUGUACUUGCCAUUUUCAAAGAAAGGAAACAGGAAAUGCCCAUUUCUGGACCUGUAACUACUCCCGUACUCAUGAAACACCGGCUUAUUACUGAGAAAAACGGCCACCCAUAAUUCAAUUUAAGACCUUUAUUGAAUGGAGGAAUCUAGAGAUAAUACCCAAAAGGCAGUAAAGUGCCUUACUGGUCAGCUGAGUGGCGGACAUGAAGAUGUGCCCGUCUCUGAUGACAUCUGUGCCAGUGAGAUAGUAAGAGUUUCACUCAAAAUCUGAAAGAACCACGUGCACUUUUAAAGCCAAAGCUUUGGAAGCACAUGUAUUUCUCCAGAAUUAUUGUCCCCUGCUCCAGAGGUAGGCAGCCUCUAACAUAGGGAAGUACCUAUCUGAUAAUGAUAGCUUCGAUUAUGUUUUACAUAGAACGUUUUCUGUAUACACACACACAUAUACACGCACACACACACAUAUGUGAAUCUAACACACAUACACAUAUGCAUGCACACAUACAUACAUACGUAUCUAACACACAUACAUACAUACACACAUAUACAGGCACACACACAUAUAUACAUAUGUAUCUAACAUAUAUAUGUACAUGUCUAUAUAUACACACACACAUACACACACGUAUUCCCCACCCCACCACCAUAGUUUGAACAACUCUUAAAACAGCAUACUUUUUCUAAUUUUCUCUUAGGGAAUGCAACUGUUCUCCUUGUCCCUCCUCCCCAUUUCCCCACAGACUUGCACCCAAUAUGCUUCUCUUCUCCAGUGUCCAGAGGUAGCAGUGUUCACUGAGUUUUGCAAUCCACAUUAUGAUGGCUGUAUUCACUCUUACUAGAGAAACACACAUUUGAUGCUGGGAAUGAUACUGACUCUAGAUGCAGCAAACAUCAUUGUCACAGUUAUUAGAUGGAGAAAAGAUGAAACCAGGAAUUGAUUUCAUCAUCAUAGUAAAGAACUGACUAUUGUAUAAUGUCUAUUUUCUGGAAACAUCAUCUGUUUCAAUGAUUGUGUUUAUGUUUGUACCCACAGCCUAAGGCUUGAUUCAUAGAAAUUUAAAAAUAUGUGUAGGAUGAAUUAAAAUUACGAAUACAUAAACAGGGUGGAUAGCCUAUUUCUUUGUUAAGGUCACUGAAUCAGAAGGAAAAUGAUAUUAAACAUAGGUAGUUAAGGGAUAACUUAAUGUUUUCAGAGGUUAUUGUCAGAAAUACCAAAAAUAUACUAUCUUUAUGUAGAAUAUAAAAAUGUAUAACUGCACCGAAUUGAUUAAAUUUAUUUAAAAAUAUGAUUUAAUUUCUUACUAAAGGGAUAGAAAAUAAAAGGACAUAGAAAGGUUCUGCAGGGGACAGAGGGAUGAAAGUUGUGACUGUAAGGGAAGGAAGCUGCAAUGCUGGUAGAGGAGGGGCACGAUAAGAAGAUAAGAAACAUGGAGAGAAAGAAAAGUAUGAGAAUCCCUUGAUUUCUGGCCAAGAACAUCAGCAGUCAUCAGAAAAUCCCUCUUAAACCCUGCUUAAUAUCCUGAAUUUGUGAAAAUUUGCCUAAACAGUUAAGUUGUUUGUGUUACCACUGAUAGAGCUACGUCAUACAGGAGAGUGAAACCAAACCAAUAAUUCUCACUUCCACAGUCAAGAACUUCACUUUUCCCACUUUUUCAUAAAAGGCACACUGAGUCAUGAAUGUAUAUGGUACAAUAAUUUUAGUUCAAUUUUUUAAAAUUUAUGAAUGCAUGUUGGCAAGUCACAUAACUCCAUCUUGUCCAGAGUCCCUACUUGUAAUUUGCAACCGGUGAUCUAUUUAUUUGUGUUUUCGUGUACAUAUGUAUGUGUAUGCAGACAUACUAUCAACAUCUAACCGAAGGCACUGCAGUGUGUACAUCUAGGUUACACAUAUGGAAACUGAAGCUCAAAAAUAAAAAUAAAAAAUCUGUAUUAUUUGUCCCUGCUGGUAAAAAAUAUGUAAGCAUUGCAAUUUUGAAUACCUAGGGUUAAUACUAAACCAUUUGCACGUUAGAAAAUGACUACCAAAAAAAAAAAUCAUUUAAAAAGGUGUUCUUGGCUGGGCACGGUGGCUCAAGCCUGUAAUCCCAACACUUUGGGAGGCUGAGGAGGGCGAAUCACGAGAUCAGGAGAUUGAGAUCAUUCUGGCUAACACGGUGAAACCCCGUCUCUACUAAAAAUACAAAAAAAAUUAGCUGGUCCUGGUGGCCGGCGCCUGUAGUCCCAGUUACUCGGGUUGCAGUGAGCCGAGAUCACGCCACUGCAGUCCAGCCUGGGGGACAGAGUGAGACUCCGUCUCAAAAACAAACAAACAAAAAACAAAACAAAAAAAUGAUGUUCUUGAUCUGUAAUGUGUUUCGUCUCUUGCUUCUCCAAAUUCUUCAGCAUUUAUCAUUAUGGUGAAUCUAAAAAAAAAAUCACUAACAUAAUAUACUCAUUUUUGAUACAUAUUUGCACUUUAUAAAACAUAGAUUUUCUAACUCUCCUAUGUUCACUUUGCUUGUUAGAGUAUACCCUCCACCACCAUCCCCAUCUCAGCUUUUUUUUUUUCCUACAUCUGACAUAUCCAGUAUGUACGUUCAGGACAUUGGAACAAAGACAGGAAGACUUUAGACAAGCUCUUCAAUUAUAUCUGAAGUCAGGGAGAAAGAAGGGCAGUAGAUUAGCUGUUAGGGAAUUUAAGGUUGUAGAAAUUCUGGGCAGUGAAAAAGUUAAUUUGCCAGAGGGACAGCACCAUUUUCCUUUAUCUGUGUGAAGACAAAUAGAAUCUGUGUGCCAAGUGUGACUGUCACCAAUCUCUUCCUUCCUAUCCCACGAAAGGGCCUCAUUUGAUUCUUUCUUAUUUUCUUCCUUCCAAUGCAGGAUCCUUGCAAAUCCUGUUCCCUGUGCUAAGACCGCACCAAUUUCCUCCACUAUUCAGCUAAGGUAACUCUUAUUCAUCUCCAAGCUCCAGAGACACAAGACCAUCACACAAUUAAAUGUAUUCAAAAGUUCCUGUAGCUUGCCAGUUUUUACAGCAGCACCAGAAUGACAGAAGAUCUGUAUUGGGUUCUGCGUUGGAUAGUUACUGCCUCUUCACCUCACUUGUCUUCACUAUCAACUUCCAUAACCAGUGAAAAAUAAUGAAAUAAUGGCGAUCAACCCUCUUCUGCUCUUGGCAUCUCAGCUUUUCCCAAGCCUUAACUCUGCACCUCAACUGGAGUGGGUUUGUUGGAGCAAGUGUGCCCUCACCUCCACACACAUACGUGUGAUAUUUUCCUCUCUUGCUUUCUGCCAUGAGAUGACACAGCAAGAAGGCCCUCACAAGAUGCCACCCUCUUGAUCUUGGACUUCCUAUUCUCCAGAAUCAGCUUGCUUUCUGCCUUUGAAGAUUAUCUGUUGGGCUUCCAUGAUAAACAGUCAAGAAAAGUGGAGGGAGAGUAAGAAAAAGCUUGUGGGAUGCACCAAGCAAGGAAUUUGGGGAAAACUGGUGACAGCGUGUGUGAAAAGUUGCAAAAACAAGAUGCAAGAGGAAUGGAACAGAGUGAAAAAAGAUACUCUGAAGAUAAGUAGAAGGAUGCUUUCCUGUGGAGAGUGAUUCAACUUGAUGUGCCCAGAGCCUAAAUAACUUCAGAUAUGGACCCCAACUAUCCCCUGCCAACUCUUCAUUUUGUAUAACAUGGAAAAUAAUCUUAAUGAGUCACAAGAAACAUAGGAUUGAAGCAAAUAAUAUCACAGAAGAAGGCUUUAUCUGUCACAAGAACGGCAGUGUCCCAGAUAGGAACAGCACCAUUAACCUGGGCUCCGCAGUGAAGACACGUGUCGUAAAACCAUACGUGAACCACAGCGGUUCUAAAUAUGAAUGUGAAUUAAACCAUUGCUGUCAUUCUUCAUUUGCUAUAAGCUAUUCCAUCUUAAACAUUUCUGGAAGAAUUUCUCACCUCAAUUUACCAACUCACUAAUUUUCACGUUGCCAAUAGCUCAUGAGAAUUUUAAUUAAAAAAUGAGCUUAGGAUAACAGAUGUAAGGCCAUGUUGUAAUCUAGUUCAAUUCAAUGUAGAUUUUGAUGAAACAUCUCAGUAUCUUGGACUUGGAUAUCUCCAUUUUUACUAAACAUUUUCAAGGACAUGUUUAAACGUGACACAAAUCCCUGGUGAACUCACAACUCUUCUGUUUAUAAUGGCAAUAAAAAUCAAGAUUAAAAAUAUAUAGCACAUAUUUAUAGCUAUACUUUGAACAUUCUCUGAAAAACAUCUUGACACUGAAUGUUGCCAGCACAUUUUGCAUGAGAUGAACAAAGUAUGUCACAGGUAACUGUUUCUGUUCCAAAUCUCUUUUCACACUGUCUCCAUCCAUGAAAAGUGGUCAUAAGGGCGUCUUUGUAAUUCAUAUACUCAAGAGCUUUAGUUUAACAUUCAUUUUACAAAUGAGAGCCUACUUAGAUUUGGGUCAGUUUUAUGUUUGGUCAUAUGAAGGCCAACUUUUGUACCACAGCAAAAGGAGAUCAGGUGGGAUUUGAACUAGGAAAUCCAAGAUGCCCUAGUUUCCAACCUUUCCUUUUAUCUAUAUGGAUGUUGCCAUUUCAUUAACUUAAAUUCUUCAUUCUGGUUUAAGCAAAGGUGAAAGUACAACUUUAGCUAAAGGGUAACUGUACUUAGUUUGGUAUAGAUUCACUUACACGAUAUGUAAAAUAUGAAAAAUGAAUACAGCAGUUAUAAUCACUUUGUUAUUGCAAAUUUUCUAUGCAACUCAGGGAAAUGCUUCAAAAGAAGGAUUCUCAAGGUAAUUUCUAUUGAAAACCUGCAAAAGUAAUUUUUCUCCUGCAUUUUUAGGUUAAAAAAUGAAUUUCAACUAAAAAUGUGCCGCACACAGGCAUUUUCUCCUUUUGAAAAAUGUACUUAAUUAUCUUUAAGAUAAGGAUAUUUUCUUUCAAAUCUGCCCCCUGAGGUUCACUCACUUAUUCCAUACCUGUCACAGAAAGGUCAGGUCUCCCUGGUGUUUGUGGAUACUUGGUCCACAAACUUAAAAUGUUUGAAAGUCAAAGAAGAGAAAGAAGAUGAAAAUAUUAUUUCUUCCUUAUGUAACAACUCUUUUCCUCUUUUUUAAAAAAUAAAUUUAUCUCAAAGUAAAGUACAGAUUAUUUUCACUUAUUAAAUGCUCAAAAUUGAAAAAAGAAUUUCCAACUGUAAAAUUAUACGUUAUUCAACAAUUCACAAGAGCACUCAAUUAACUGUGAGAAACCAAUUUAGAAUGAAUCACCCAAAAAUCGUUAUGUUGAAGAAUAAUACAAUAUUACUUAAUAAAAUUCAUUUUUACCCAUGCCAUACAAUCAUAAGUCUGGGUCAAAUUAUUCAAGAAAAUAUUGUGUAAUUGUUAUACUAUAUCACCAGAUUUUUUUUUCUAAACUGAAAAACUAAAAGCUAUUAAAAUUGGCAAGUUAUAUGUAAGAGUUGUCACUAUCUAGGAAACUUUCCUUACCCUUUGCAUCAGUCAUCUUUAUUGCCUGCUAGUUGUAGGUGUUAGAAAAUGACUCUGGCCACAUACAUAGAAAAUGAAUUUAGAAAUAUAUAACUGGGUCAAAAAAAAACAAUGAGAAGCCUAGAGAAGUAGAUUCUGAAAUCUCACUAGAAUCAGGAAGCAGAGGUUAAACAGCUCAGCACAGUAUGGUUCGAAUGCUUCUACUGUCAUUGCCAUUACUGUAUAUCUGUCAAUGUCACUCCUGUUUUCAAUUCUAACAGAGAUGCCGGAAGAAACCUAAUGCUGUUGCCUCUUUGUCUCCCACUGUCUGGAGUCGUCACCAUGGGUGAUGGCAUUUUAUUGGCUCCUUCUCUAUCUUUGUCAGUGCCCUAGCUGAGAGGAGAUGCCUGGCUUCAAAGUUCACAGUGUGGAUUUUUCUAAAUAGAAAUAGCCCUUAUGUACAAGAAAAUGUCCUUUCCAGAACAAUCUUUCUCUCUCUCUGUCUCUCUUUUUUUUUUCUUCAUAGCACACAAAUCGGUAGGUUUAGGCAUACUUAAUUUUUGGUGAAUUUAGAUGGCCACCUAGAGUGCCUAUGUGAUCUUCCUUCAUUUGUUUGUCAAAUUUGUAAUUAACUUACUGGAUUUUGGUAAAUAGGAAAAAAGAAAAAGGUAGAGAUGAAGAGUUGCUUGAUACUUAAAUCCCUUGUGUUGGUUGCUGACAGCAGUUGCCUAAUAUCAUCUCAUUCCUUUCUGGAAAGAACUUCUGGAUUUUGUUCAGGGUCUCAGCAGUCCUAUGACUAUUGCCUGAGGAACAUAGAAGGAGCGCCAGGUAUGAUCUAACAUCUGUGCCUUCUUUAUGUCAGCAUGGCAUCCAAUCAUUUAUAGGUGUUUCUUAUUUUUUUAAACAUGGGCAAUAUCUUAAUAACCAAUGGCCUUAUUUGGAGUUUCAAAGUCUUGCUUAUUUCUAUAGAUUUUACUUCUGUGGGUCCCUAACUAUCUACUUUUUUCCCAAUGUCUAUAUUCUGUAUGUAAACAAGAGAAAGAAAAGAGAGAGACAGAGAAAGAGAGAGACAGAGAGAGAGAGAGAUGAUUGUCGGGAAACGACUGGAAGAAGUCUGCCUGAGUCACUGAAAAUGAUCACAGUGAGCAUCCAUGAGGGAGUGAUCCCAAGCAAGCUGGCAGCAACCUGUUCGAACAAUUGGAAAACAUAAUGGAACAUCAAUGAGGCCAAUUCCAGCAGCUUGACAGGCUCUCUCUUUAUUCUUACUGCUCUGUUUCUUGCCUGGUGCCACUUUAUUAUGAUCUGGGAUGUUCAGCCUUUUAGAUUUCUCCAAAGAACUUAUCUCUUUUCAGUUGACAAACCAAGUUGUGCAGAGUUUAGUAAGUGUAAUCUGGCAAUUCAUGAAGACUUUCCUUAGGAAUGUGGAUUUAAAUAGUUUUGAGGCAAUGAUUUCUCAGAUCCUCAACUUUCAUGUAUACUAUUUUCUCAAGUUCAUUGCUUUAUUUUUAUUUUUUUCAGAUAAGGCCUUGCUCUGUUGCCCAGGCUGGGGUGUGGUAGUGUGACCACAGCUUACUGCAGCCUCCUGCCCCUGGGCUCAAGCAAUCUUCCCACCUCUGCCUGCUGAGUAGUUGGGAUUACAGGCACGCACCACCACCCUCAGCUAAGUUUUUAAAUUUUUGUAGGAACAAGGUCUCACUAUAUUGCCCAGGCUGGUCUCAAGCUCCUGGGCUGGUACAGUCCUCCCACCUCAGCUUCCCAAAGUGCUGAGAUUACAGGCAUGAGCCACUGCACCUGGCCUAUACAGUUAACUCUAUUUUGAAGAUUAACAUGUAACAAUAUAUAGACAUAUGCACAGUCUUUGCUGCAGCACUAAUUGUCAUAGCAAAACAUAGGAAAUAACUGAUUCUCCAGCAUUAAAAGUCUGAUUAAAUAAACCAUGGGACUCUAUAGAAAACCAAGUAGUGUUCUUUGAAGUUCUAAACAUCAAUGUGAAAUACUUCUGGAAUGAUGACCAGAAGAUAAGUUAAAACACGCACAAUGGACAAAAUGGCAUCUAAUAUGCUACCAUUCCUACAUAUGGAGAAAGGAGGAAUAUCUCAUAACUCCCUCUUACUGAAAUACUUUAUUGUUUCUCUGAUCAAUUCUUGUUUUCUAUGGCAAGUUAAUAAAUCUGUCUUUGUUUGACUACA